AUGGCUCCCACACAGAAAGGUGGCAACAAGAAAGGCCAUUCUUCCAUCAAUGACAUGGUAACCUGAGAAUACACCAUCAACAUUCACAAGGGCAUCCAUGGAGUGGGCUUCAAGAAGCCUACCUCUCAGACACUCAAAGAGAAAAGAAAUUUGCCAUGAAGGAGAUGGAGAUUCCAGAUGAGGGGAUUGAUACCAGGCUAAACAAAGCUUUCUGGGCCAAAGGAAUAAGGAAUGUUCCAUACUGUAUCCAUAAGCAGUUGUCCAGAAAACGUAAUGAGGAUGAAGAAUCACCAAGCAAGCUCUAUACUUUGGUUACCUAUGUACUAGUUACCACUUUCAAAAAAAGUGCCACUGCAAAUGAGAACUAA
rnacentral:lncRNA from 1 species